UCAGACGUGGUGUACGGAACACGGCCUCCGCGCAUACAAUAUCUUCAUUGUCGGAUGCGUCACGAAGUAGUCCGGGGUUCGAUUCCCCGUGUCUGAA